AAAAAGGCAAACCCUGGGUUUCCGUGUCCGUCUUAUAUGAUUUUUUUUAUAAUUUGUAUUUUCAUUGUUGUUAGAUGAUAAAACAUGAUUAAUAUUUUAUGCGUGACUUAUCUUUUUAAUUUUUUUCAUAAUUUUUUCAAAUAAGACGGGCGGUCAAACUUUGGGCACGGAAAUC
rnacentral:pre_miRNA from 1 species